GGACGAAAGUCUGACGGAGCAACGCCGCGUGAGUGAAGAAGGUUUUCGGAUCGUAAAGCUCUGUCUUUGAGGACGAAUGUGUCUAAUGUGAAUAAUGUUAGAUAAUGACGGUACUCGAGGAGGAAGCCACGGCUAACUACGUGCCAGCAGCCGCGGUAAUACGUAGGUGGCAAGCGUUGUCCGGAAUUAUUGGGCGUAAAGCGCGCGCAGGCGGGAUAUUAAGUCUGUUUUAAAAGUUCGGGGCUCAACCCCGUGAUGGAAUGGAAACUAAUAUUCUUGAGUGCAGGAGAGGAAAGUGGAAUUCCCAGUGUAGCGGUGAAAUGCGUAGAUAUUGGGAGGAACACCAGUGGCGAAGGCGACUUUCUGGACUGUGUCUGACGCUGAGGCGCGAAAGCCAGGGGAGUGAACGGGAUUAGAUACCCCGGUAAUCCUGGCCGUAAACGAUGGGUACUAGGUGUAGGAGGUAUCGACCCCUUCUGUGCCGGAGUUAACGCAAUAAGUACCCCGCCUGGGGAGUA
rnacentral:rRNA from 1 species